GGAGAGGUGGCUGAGCGGUUUAAAGCGGCAGUCUUGAAAACUGUUGUGGGCUUUGCCCACCCCGAGUUCGAAUCUCGGCCUCUCCGCCA
rnacentral:tRNA from 1 species